rnacentral:tRNA from 1 species
GAAGUAGCUCAGCUUGGUAGAGCACAUGGUUUGGGACCAUGGGGUCGCAGGUUCGAAUCCUGUCUUCCCGACCA